rnacentral:snRNA from 1 species
GGCUGUGAGGGUGAUCUGGCUGUGAUAUCUGUCACCCCACUGAUCGCCAGGGUUGACUCGGCAGACCUGGCUGGCUGGCGGGUGUCUCCUUCCUCCCUCACCGCUCCCCAGGUCCCUCCCGGAGCUGAGGACCACCACCCCACGCAGGAGGGCAUUCCUCGGUUUAGGGUAUACCAGCAGCUGCUCUCCCCUGCUAGGACCUCCAGACAAACUGUCAAGGUCCAGAAGCGGGGUGCACAGUGAAUCUGAGGGAAACACAGGCCCAGGAAGGCAUGCGCAGCAUGGUGCAGAGGUGG